UAGAGGUGCUAUCCAUGUUAGUCACGGUUAAGUACCACUAGUGGCCGUCAUGAUGUGGGCGGUAUAAAAGCAGCCAUCCUCCACCUGCCUCUUUCUUUUUGCGCUCCUGUCACUUGCGCGUCACUUCCGGGCCAAAAGGUAGUCUGGUCCGAUAGGGCGACUAUUUGUUGCUGCUUCAGGGUUUUCGUGCGAGCUAUGGUGUAAACGCUGAUGACGGCCGGAGUCCUCUCUCACUCCCUCCUCCUGUGUGAACGCGAGUGUGUGUGUGUGUGUGUGUGUAUGCCAGUGUUUGGUCGUAAACAGGACCAACUGCAAUCAGCUCAUUGGGGUCGCUGCUGCUUUGCCAGGCUGAUCUUGCCUUCCCACGCUACUCUGCUUUGCCAGGCUGAUC